CCUACGGGAGGCAGCAGUGGGGAAUUUUGGACAAUGGGCGCAAGCCUGAUCCAGCAAUGCCGCGUGAGUGAAGAAGGCCUUCGGGUUGUAAAGCUCUUUUGUCAGGGAAGAAAAGGGUCUGGCUAAUAUCUAGGCCUCAUGACGGUACCUGAAGAAUAAGCACCGGCUAACUACGUGCCAGCAGCCGCGGUAAUACGUAGGGUGCAAGCGUUAAUCGGAAUUACUGGGCGUAAAGCGUGCGCAGGCGGUUUUGUAAGACUGUCGUGAAAUCCCCGGGCUCAACCUGGGAAUGGCGAUGGUGACUGCAAGGCUAGAGUUUGGCAGAGGGGGGUAGAAUUCCACGUGUAGCAGUGAAAUGCGUAGAUAUGUGGAGGAACACCGAUGGCGAAGGCAGCCCCCUGGGUCAAAACUGACGCUCAUGCACGAAAGCGUGGGGAGCAAACAGGAUUAGAUACCCUGGUAGUCCACGCCCUAAACGAUGUCUACUAGUUGUCGGGUCUUAAUUGACUUGGUAACGCAGCUAACGCGUGAAGUAGACCGCCUGGGGAGUACGGUCGCAAGNUUAAAACUCAAAGGAAUUGACGG
rnacentral:rRNA from 1 species